CUUUAAACUCACAGUUCUAAAUGGGACGUCUUUGUCAAAUUCCUCCCCUCAGAGCUCAGGGAACCCCAUGGAAGAGGAGGCAAAAAGAGUGUAAGAGCCAGAAGGGAUGGAGAACAAGACCUCUGAAUCAACUGAGCAGGCUCAUAUGAACUCACAGAGACUGAAGCAGCAAGCACAGGCAUGCACCAGAUGAAAAUGUCCACAACAACCUGUGCAUCAAUAUUCAGAUUAGCACUGUUCAAAACAGAAAGGAGAAGCAGUACAAGUGACCAUGGAAGGAGAGCAGGUUUGGAAUCUCAAGCAAAGAGGAUGCUCUAGACUCCCAUAAUCCAGUCCUGGCUGUGUAAUCUACAUUUCCAAAUCCAGGAAGUCCCAUACAGCUGAGGCAAAGGGAGAGUGAAGACCUGGGUUAGAAUCAUGAAGGCCGUACAAGUUUACAUUCCCACCAACAAUGGAGGAGGUCUCCCUUUUCUCUACAUCCUCUCCAGAAUGAGCUGUCACUUAUGUUUUUAUCCUGACAGGUAUAAGAUGGAAUCUCAGAUUUGCUCUGAUGGCUAUGGUUGUUGAACAUCUUCUUAAGUGUUUCUCGGCCAUUUGAGAUUCUUCUGUUGAGAAUUCUCUAUUUAGGUACCCUGUAUUUUUGUUUUUGUUUUGUUUUUCGAGGCAGGGUUUCUCUGUGCAGCUUUAGCUUUAGACCAGGUUGGCUUCAAACUCACAGAGAUCUGCUUGCCUUUGCCUCCUGAGUGUUAGAAUUAAAGGCAUGUGCUACCACCACCUGGCUCUAUACCCCUUUUUAAAUUGCAUUAAAUAUCAGAGAACUCACAUGUGACUAACCUAGGCACUCUGCAUAUAUGUGACAGAUGUGUAGCUUGGUUUUCUUGUGGGACUCCACAGUGGGGGAAGGGGCUGUCUCUUUGGGAACAUAUUCCUCAUAAUGGGCCACCUUGCCCAGCCUUAAUACAAGGGGUGAUUCUUAGUCUUAC
rnacentral:lncRNA from 1 species